rnacentral:rRNA from 1 species
GCCAGCAGCCGCGGUAAUACGUAUGUCACGAGCGUUAUCCGGAUUUAUUGGGCGUAAAGCGCGUCUAGGUGGUUAUAUAAGUCUGAUGUGAAAAUGCAGGGCUCAACUCUGUAUUGCGUUGGAAACUGUAUAACUAGAGUACUGGAGAGGUAAGCGGAACUACAAGUGUAGAGGUGAAAUUCGUAGAUAUUUGUAGGAAUGCCGAUGGGGAAGCCAGCUUACUGGACAGAUACUGACGCUGAAGCGCGAAAGCGUGGGUAGCAAACAGGAUUAGAUACCCUGGUAGUCCACGCCGUAAACGAUGAUUACUAGGUGUUGGGGGUCGAACCUCAGCGCCCAAGCAAACGCGAUAAGUAAUCCGCCUGGGGAGUACGUACGCAAGUAUGAAACUCAAAGGAAUUGACGGGGGCCCGCACAAG